rnacentral:rRNA from 1 species
UGAGCAAUCUGCCCUUCUCUUCGGAAUAAGCGUUGGAAACGACGUCUAAUGCCGAAUACGACCUCCUUUCGCAUGAUUGGAGGUGGAAAGCUCCGGCGGAGAAGGAUGAGCUCGCGGCCUAUCAGCUUGUUGGCGGGGUAAUGGCCCACCAAGGCGACGACUGGUAGCCGGCCUGAGAGGGUGACCGGCCACACUGGGACUGAGAUACGGCCCAGACCUCCGUACGGGGAGGNAGCG